UAUUAAAGGCAGGUUUACUGGGAAGC
rnacentral:piRNA from 1 species